rnacentral:rRNA from 1 species
UACGGAGGGUGCGAGCGUUGUCCGGAAUCACUGGGCGUAAAGGGCGCGUAGGCGGCGCGAGUAGUCAACGGUGAAAGCCCGGGGCUCAACCCCGGGUCGGCCGUCGAUACUCUCGUGCUUGAGCACUGUAGAGGCAGGUGGAAUUCCGGGUGUAGCGGUGGAAUGCGUAGAGAUCCGGAAGAACACCGGUGGCGAAGGCGGCCUGCUGGGCAGUAGCUGACGCUGAGGCGCGACAGCGUGGGGAGUAAACAGG